UGCACUCAACUUGAUCUUCUCAUUUACCUCACAGGCAUUCAUUCUUCAAAAGCCAAGGGCGUACAUCUUUGGGAGAUGAAGCUGCAAAAGAAUUUUGAAUAGAUUGAACCUGGGGAUGCUUCUGGCUCAGUUAGUAUUAAUGGCAAGUUGGCUUUGGAAAAUGACAAACUCCGCAGUCUGGUGCUGGAAGAAUUAGAAGGGCUUGAAACGUGGGAAAAUAAUGGAGAAACAGCUUUGAAGUGGUUAUUCAUCUCCUUCAAAUACACCCACCGGACAACUGGGACAGAUACAAGCCGCAAAGGGAGGUACCUCCCAUGGUCAGCCCUGCAGAAGUUAGAAAGGAGUGGGGAGAAGAAAUGGUGGAGCUGGCAACAUCUUUGUGAUCUCUCAAGUGGAUCCACAGCCCAGGUGGAGCAUCCUGUUCUACUAAAGGUUGUAGAAACAUUUCUAUCCCACCUCUUUGUCUUUGGGCUGAGUCCAGAAAACUUCAGUGACAUCUGGGAAAAAAGUGAUGAAACUGUACCUGAACAACGACAUUAAAACGUAGCUUGCUGGCAGCAUGGGCUGUGUUAUGUGAGGUCUGCCUGUUCCUGCUUUACCCAGAGAGCAC
ensembl:lncRNA